GAUGAACGCUGGCGGCGUGCCUAAUACAUGCAAGUCUAGCGAACAGACGAGGAGCUUGCUCCUCUGACGUUAGCGGCGGACGGGUGAGUAACACGUGGAUAACCUACCUAUAAGACUGGGAUAACUUCGGGAAACCGGAGCUAAUACCGGAUAAUAUAUUGAACCGCAUGGUUCAAUAGUGAAAGACGGUUUUGCUGUCACUUAUAGAUGGAUCCGCGCCGCAUUAGCUAGUUGGUAAGGUAACGGCUUACCAAGGCAACGAUGCGUAGCCGACCUGAGAGGGUGAUCGGCCACACUGGAACUGAGACACGGUCCAGACUCCUACGGGAGGCAGCAGUAGGGAAUCUUCCGCAAUGGGCGAAAGCCUGACGGAGCAACGCCGCGUGAGUGAUGAAGGUCUUCGGAUCGUAAAACUCUGUUAUUAGGGAAGAACAAAUGUGUAAGUAACUAUGCACGUCUUGACGGUACCUAAUCAGAAAGCCACGGCUAACUACGUG
rnacentral:rRNA from 1 species